rnacentral:lncRNA from 1 species
AUGCCACUUCUCUAUUUCGUCAACGGUCAGAAAGGACUGAAUCAACAGCUGCAGCCAAAGCACAAACUUCCUCAUUCAGCUUUCAUGAAUUACAACGUUAGAAGACUCGCAAUUUAUGAUUCUAAGCACUAUUUGGACACGAGGGACAGCAGCAUCCAACUAGAACUCAAAAAGCCUGCAGUCUUUCCAGUGCUGAGAUGUUGAAUCAUGAGGAUGAUUUGUAGAACACAUUCCUGUGAACAAAAGCAGCACCUGGAGGCAGAAACAUUACAGCCACAAAGGCAAGUCUGUACUGUACUAUUUCGCAAGUUAUGACGUUAACCUCCAAAUAAGGCAACUGAAUCGGAGAGGUGGAACUGGAAGCCAAUGUCAACAUUAAGGGCUCCAAUUGGUUAUUUAAAUAGCAAACCACAUGAAAAAUGUUGCUGCCUGUUAAAAAACACAUUAUUGCCUGAGGUCUCAAAAAAAAGUAUGCAAUGAAUAUUAUUGGGCCAUUUAUCUAGGAGCUGUUUACUUGGAUUAGUAGCAUUUCUCCUGGGUCUCAAGCAGAAAUUUUUGGCAGCUCUGCUAGCUUGGCUUUUUUAAUUGUUAAUAUCAAAUUAAGCCUGUGAUUUCCUGUAUCCAAAAUAACUUUGGCAGGGCCCCUUGCAAAUUGGGGUUUGUGCAAGUAAGUGCUGCCUUGGACCUAAGGUACUGCACCAAAGACUGUUCACAAGGUAAUGCCAGGGAUUCCAAAUACCCAUUCCUAUUUACUUCAUAUGUUAGUAAACAUGGGCACAGCUCCUCCUCUGUUACGGACUCUGCUGUGCUAAAAGAAGUAUUUACAUGCAUGAAGAACUACAGAUGGGCAACGUUUGGGACUCCAGAUGUUGAUGAAUUAUAUUUCCAUCAAGCCUCUCCACUGAUUGGGCUGGAUAGGGCUGAAGACAUCAAGGGGGCCAUUAGCUCUCCAGUUCUAAGCUAAACAUGGCCUCUUUUAACUAGAGCUUCUCAGAUAUCCAUUCUGUACCUUCAGAGUUUUCCAGUGAAUGCUUGGUGAUCUCUCCUCUGAGUAGAGACAAGUUUGAAAACGGGGAACCAGGUUGGCUUUCAACAGGCUUGGUACAUGCUGUCAAAGCCAUCUUCAGCAGGGAGGUUACCCAGUACUGGCCAGAUCCAUGAUGCUAAAGAUAUUCUUCAUUCUUCAGCACUGGCAAUUUCCUGC